UGUUUGUAAGAUUUUCUAACAGCAUAUAUGCAAAGUAUUUUGAUUUAUUUGAAAAUAAUUGAAAACAGAUUUUUCAAGGACGGUGUCGAGGUCACGGGGUCGGUGUCGUUUUUCGAAAUUUGUUAACUUAAUAUAAUAGAAGAUGUUUCGUUUUAAAUUAAGAAAUGUUAAAAUUAUUAAGUUAAAAACAUUUGAUUUUAAUGACACUUAAAAUUAGACACAAUAUUAUAGGUUACUAACUAAAAAUUGAAAAAACAACAAUAAAUAAUAAAAAAUAAUAAUAAAAAUUCAAAAAAUCAAAAAAUUCUUAAAAAAUUGCAAAAUAACCCUUUUUCGGGUUAAAAUUGAAAAAUAACCCUUUUUCGGGUUAAAAUUGAAAAAAGAUGUUACAUAAAAAUAGUUUGUAAGAUUUUCUAACAGCAUAUAUGCAAAGUAUUUUGAUUUAUUUGAAAAUAAUUGAAAAUAGAUUUUUCAAGGACGGUGUCGAGGUCACGGGGUCGGUGUCGUUUUUCGAAAUUUGUUAACUUAAUAUAAUAGAAGAUGUUUCGUUUUAAAUUAAGAAAUGUUAAAAUUAUUAAGUUAAAAACAUUUCAUUUUAAUGACACUUAAAAUUAGACACAAUAUUAUAGGUUACUAACUAAAAAUUGAAAAAACAACAAUAAAUAAUAAAAAAUAAUAAUAAAAAAUUUAAAAAAUCAAAAAAUUCUUAAAAAAUUGCAAAAUAACCCUUUUUCGGGUUAAAUUUGAAAAAAGAUGUUACAUAAAAAUAGUUUGUAAGAUUUUCUAACAGCAUAUAUGCAAAGUAUUUUGAUUUAUUUGAAAAUAAUUGAAAAUAGAUUUUUCAAGGACGGUGUUGAGGUCAC